CUAUUUCACAUACACACUUAGAGAUAAUUAUGAGAUAAAGAAGAGAUAAUGUUAGGAUAAUUAUGCCAACUAAUUGAUUUAAUCAAAUCUUUUUGGGCUCAUAAUUAAGAGCCUAAUUAAAUUCAAAUAGAUUUAGGUUAGGUUCAAGGCUAUGGACUUGAUCAAAUUGAAGUCUCGAGAGGAAUUAGGUUUAACCGUG
rnacentral:lncRNA from 1 species